CCGAGUUCUGGGUCGCCCUUCUCACGAAGCGGUGCCCGACCUCCCAACCCUGUGUUUACACCGACCACUGUUGCUUCGGCGAGCCGGACCCCGCGAGGGGGCCGCCGGGGGGGAAAGAUCCCCCCUGGAGAGCGCCCGCCGACGGCCAACCAAACAAACUCUUUUUAGAAACCACCUUCUGAAAAAACACUUCGUUAUUCUUAAUAACAAAAACA
rnacentral:misc_RNA from 1 species